rnacentral:rRNA from 1 species
ACGGGUGAGUAACGCGUAGAUAAUCUGCCUUAGACUCUGGGAUAACAUCUCGAAAGGGGUGCUAAUACCGGAUAAGCCCACGAUGGCGUAAGUCGUUGCGGGAAAAGGGGGCCUCUGCAUAUGCUCUUGAUCUAAGAUGAGUCUGCGUACCAUUAGCUAGUUGGUAGGGUAAGAGCCUACCAAGGCGACGAUGGUUAGCUGGUCUGAGAGGAUGAUCAGCCACACUGGAACUGAGACACGGUCCAGACUCCUACGGGAGGCAGCAGUGGGGAAUUUUGCGCAAUGGGGGAAACCCUGACGCAGCAACGCCGCGUGAGUGAUGAAGGCUUUCGGGUCGUAAAGCUCUGUCUAGAGGGAAGAAAUGAUAUUCGGUUAAUACCCGGAUUUCUUGACGGUACCUCUGAAGGAAGCACCGGCUAACUCCGUGCCAGCAGCCGCGGUAAUACGGAGGGUGCGAGCGUUGUUCGGAUUUAUUGGGCGUAAAGCGCGUGUAGGCGGUUUGUUAAGUCUGAUGUGAAAGCCCUGGGCUCAACCUGGGAAGUGCAUUGGAAACUGGCAGACUUGAAUACGGGAGAGGGUAGUGG